CCUACGGGUGGCUGCAGUGAGGAAUAUUGGUCAAUGGGCGCGAGCCUGAACCAGCCAAGUCGCGUGCGGGAUGACGGUCCUACGGAUUGUAAACCUCUUUUGCCGGGGAGCAAGCGUUCGUUCGUGAACGCGCGUCGAGAGUACCCGGCGACAAAGCAUCGGCUAACGCCGUGCCAGCGGCCGCGGUCAUACGGAGGAUGCGAGCGUAUUCGGUUUUUAUGGGUUUAAAGGGUGCGUAGGCGGGAUUCCAAGUCAGCGGUAAAAAGGCGGUGCUCAACGCCGUCGAGCCGUUGAAACUGGCGUUCUUGAGUGGGCGAGAAGUAUGCGGAAUGCGUGGUGUAGCGGUGAAAUGCAUAGAUAUCACGCAGAACUCCGAUUGCGAAGGCAGCAUACCGGCGCCCUACUGACGCUGAGGCACGAAAGCGUGGGUAUCGAACAGGAUUAGAUACCCCAGUAGUC
rnacentral:rRNA from 1 species